UUUGUGUGAAUAUUUCCUCACAAUUUGCUGAUUUUUUAGGCUAACAAUAAUUUGAAUUUUCUGUUCAUCGAUUAACUACUUUUUAUGAAGUGUGUCUAUUUAAGUUAAUUUUUUUUCUUUUCUCCUUUUCUUUUUCUCUUCUUUUCAUGGUUCACUGAGUUAUUUGUGUUUGAGAUAAGAGUUUCUUUUUGAGGCCCUUUUUUCAAUGGUCAUCUCAUUGCCCAUUCCUAUCAACUAUCCAUGUAUACAGAAGCUCUCACUUGCUUGUUGAUCAUGUUAUGUUAGCUUGAAGCUACUGGCUGAUGUUACCUGCUGUGAAGCCAAAUUGCUCACACCUCAGGCCAAGAAAAUAAACUCGAGGCUCUUUUGUAAAUUAAUGCAAUGCUUUCUUUUUGUUACAAUCAAUGUAAUAAGAGAAGAUGAUGAUUAGUAUAACAGUCAACUACCGUUUCAAGAUGAUACUUGGAUCAUCAUUGCCACCAUCAUCAUACCAUUGCCUCUGAGCUCAAGGUGAUUAUAAAUGGAUACCAACAAUAUGGCUGACGGACACUGGAGUUAAUUGUAGACAUAAAGAUAACUGUAAACCAUCAUUAUGGACAUUAAUUGGACAAGAAAACUGUUUAUCUACGUUUGGUCCUGUCAAAGGUUAUUAUCGUUGGACAAAAAAACUAGCCAAUUAAUUAUUCCGUUGAUUUGUCUCGUGGCUUCAAUCUUGCAAGAGAUAUGUUAAUCAAUGUCUUCAAUCAGAGGAGAAGUGGAAAUAAUCGGAAAUGCUGUUAAUUUGAAUUUUGCUGCUUUCCACAUGAGAUGAUACCAUUUAACACCAUGUUACCUUAAAACAUGUAACAAAUAACUUUGCCUGGCACGUUCAACGAACCAUUUGAUUCGCGCGUCUCAAUCUUGUUCCUCUUAAUCAUCGUCUUCUUCCUCUUCCCCUUUACCUGAUUUCAUCCCUUUCACUUAUAAUUCAUUAUAACAAAUUGUUGACCCACUCGAGUGUAACAUGUGAUGAACGUAAUAAUCGGUCAACAGAUUGUCUUCCUCUUGCAUGUUGAUGGAUAAACAAAAUUUUGCCGCCAAAACAGUCAGCUCACUAUCAAGUCAACAACAAAAUUAGCUUGAAGGAAGCUCAUCUCAAAUAACUGGUGAAAGUGAUUAGCAAUGUUUAUUUAAAUGUGAUAUUUUCAAUGCAACUCAACCUAAAUUGUAAGUAUAACCUCGAAGUGAGUUAAAAUUAAUCAAUUAUAUAACUUAUUCAUACUCAAAAUACGGAAUCAAGUCUCGACUUAUGCGCCUGUUUUGUUUGCGGUCAUUAGCCAUUGAACCUAGAAAAUGUAUUCCUAUCGGGUCAAAAGCCUCGGAUGAAUAGCUGUAACCUGCCAAGUUAUAACCUCAAUCAAGUUUAAUCAAGUACAGUCAAGUUCAAUGUACUUGUAUGCAGAGACAUUCAAAUAUUUAACCUUUGAAAUGUCAAGCUGAAUGAAAGGUAACACCCAAAAGGAGAUAUUCAUUCAACAACUGUACCUGGAUUCAUUGGGUAAAGUCAUGUUGAUUCAUGGAAGCUGUUAAAUCAAUUGAAGUACGUUAUUGAAAAACAAACAAUUUCUUGAUGGUUAAAUUGAAAUUAUAAUCAACAGACUGUGAGACUGGUUUGAAAACGAAGACAGUUGAGAUUCAUUUUCUGAAACGCAAUUUCAGUUGUUGCUUGCGUAUUUUGAUGAGUAACUUGAGUGUCUGUCUCUCCUCUCUUUCUUAAUGUUUAUGUGUGUUGGGUAAAAAAAGCGCCAAAAGUAAAGGUGUGACGGUAAGUGAAACCUUUUAAGACAUUUGCUUGAGAAAAUGUUGAGUUAAGAUGAUACAGAAGAAGGUUAAGAAAAUGUUAACAUGUAAAGGUAAAGACUACUGUUUGGGUCCUUCAGGGUCAAAGUUAAACUUAUUUUUCGAACGUCUGUUUCCUUCUUUUUCCCGCCAUUUCUUAUUUUUGUAAACCUUUUCAUUCUUACCUUAUUUUUGUUUUGUUUUUUCAAUUUUCCUUUACUUUUUUUUAUGUUCAAUUUCAGCUUGAAAUACUUUUCAACCUUUUGCUUACAUUGAUGGUUGUUGUUGUUGUAGCCUCAAGCUUAAAUAAUUGCUAAAAUAUCUUGUUACCAUUUGCUUUAAUUAGGUUCCUCUUUUGACUUUCACUGUUGACGAAAUGUUUCCAAUUGUAAUUAUCAUUGUGUUGCUCCUGUUAUCAACUAUUGAAUUAAUUAACCUUAUUUUACCUCUUUCUUGGUGGUAAAAAAUGUUGAUUUAUCUAGUUCACUGUAUUCAAGGUGCAUUUGAAGCAAAAAUUGAUUCCAUUGGCUGUCGACUAUUUAAUUUAGAGCAACCCAGCAAUUAGUUGAUUACAAGUGAAACAAAUUAACUAAUAAAUGAUAAAUACUAAGCAUUGGCAACUGUUUUCCUGAAGCACAUAAAAAUGGCACAUUUAUUGAAUAAGCAUUCUUUCCAGUAAUCAUUUCAAACCUAAUCAGGAUGAAUGCCCAUAAUUAGAUUCUUUCAACUAUUCGAGUCUCUGAAUUUUCAAUGUCUCGCAAAAAUUGUUAAGCAAAUAAUUUCAAAUAGUCAAUACGACAGGUUCAUUGGUCAAUGACAAUAUUUGUGAUUUUUGUCUGGAAUCCAGUUUUGUAAAUUGUCGAUAUUGUCUGUUGGCAUACAUUCGCAUAUGAUACAAAUUGGUUGGACCUGAUGGCUAAUGAGGACAAUUUAACCUUUCGUGGUGAAUUAUCAGCUUCACUAAUCACCCGAGAAUGAGCAAAUUGUAGAGCAACUAGAGAGUGAAGUGAAAAAAUGUGACCAUCAGAGCAAAUCCAAUGGUUUCCAUCCUUUAACCAUCACUGGAUUUUUUGAUGGCUAUUAUGUUUUUAUUUCAUAAAAAUGGUGAUGAAGAUGAUGAUGGACUCAUCAUCGAUGGUUAUGCUAUUUGGAGGGCGUACAAAGCCUAUGGAAGUCAAUGAAGGGCAAACACACAAAGUAACGAUUGAACUGGAUGGUUGAACAGACUACGGGUUGUAUUAUUAAAGUCAAAGAUGAGAGAUGAUUACUUGUGAUUAUUGAAAGUAAAUUAUUUCACCAAUAAAGUGGGAAUACCUUUGUAACUGUAUUGAACAUGAUGGUUUCCCUGAUUAUUAUCAUCUUUCCUUUUGACCAUCACCAUCAUCUGGAUUUGCUUGAUUACCUUUUAAACAGCCCUGUACCAUAUAAAAGUAACCCAUAAACAAGAAAGGUAAUCGGAUCAUGAAAACUCAUCACUAGUAAUCAACAUUACCAAUCAUCUGUCUCUUGUCCAUUAUUAUUAUCUUUCCUUCAUUACCUUACUCAAAUUGAUGGAGACGGGCCAAAGCCAGGUUCUUUACAGUUUCACUUUUGAUUGUUACCUUUGAUAAACAACAAUAAUGAUAAACAGUGUUAUUGUCCAAAA